ACUCCUCUGCGUAUCAAUUCCUUCGUGAGUAACGAAUGUCAAAUGUCAUUUGUCUUCUUCUUCACAUACAAGCUCCUUGAUGUGAUCUGAACUGUGAUGGCAAUCUACUGUUGACCCUUCCUCAGUCUCUUCUCCGUGACAAUCCGUGACGAGCCAUUGAUCUGUAUUUUUAAACUUCAACAACAGCGUCUGUUCCUCUGAGUUUUCCUUAACAUACAGCUCCGACCACACAUGCAUAGUUUCAGAUGUUUCUUCAUAGCUAAUAGAACCGUUUUUCCCACCGAAUAUCGCAACAUUUUCAGUGGUCAAAACACAAUUCUUUCUUUGAAUGGGAUUUAUGAACCGAGUUCAGACCUUGCCGGAGUUCUGCAGUUUCCGAUGUCCCUUCAGCUUCUGACUCACACGGUAAUCCCGAUCAUAGUUUCUGUUUGCACCUUCCAUUGAUUUCUCUGACGAGACCCACGGAGCCAUAAACAAUUACGUUUCUCGUCACAUUCCUCUCUGCAUCUCCCUGCGGUGCCCUUGUUGCCAUUACUCCACCUGGAGCUGCUUCACCAGAGCUACUUGAUAGUGAACAUAACUUGAUGCAACUUCAACUUGAGUUUUUGCAUCCUGCGGCAUCAAGCUUCGACGCCAUUACCCGAUGACUGUAGCUCGUACCUUUCGAGAUUACAAAUAUCAUGAACCUCUGCAUCAAUCCGUGUGCUAGCCUUAUGUGAAUCUCAUUUAAUCUCGAACAUUCUCGUUCGAAAUUCUUUCACAGCUGCUUGGACGAUGCUCUGCGUCUCCCCCUCUGCUCUAGUGUUAGCAGGUAACGAAAGCUCUUUAACAGCAUCUCCUAUGAAACCCUUUGUCUUUGCAGCUUUUCCUGUGAGCUCCACCUGAAGACAAUAACUCCUUUGACUUCAGAUUCUCAGCGUCUGCAACAACUCACUUCUCUGCUACUCUGCUACACUGAUGAUCCAGCUACUCCUCCUGAAACCAGUAUCUUCCCUAGCUUCAUAAUUCUCGCAGGAUCAAACCCGAAACCCACCAACAGGCCCAAAAGACACAAAGCCUCACAUUUGAGAGUGUUUUCAGAGGCCCAAACUUUACAGCCCAUAAUUAAAGAUCCUUCAAAGCCGAACUUCAGGAGACCUACACACAAAGGCAAAGUCGGUUAGUAUAUGAUUUUGUACGUGAAUUAAGAAAAGGAAAUUCUCCAUCAAGGUCGGUUAAUCCUUGAUUAUAAAAGGAACAUCAACGUGACACUGAAAAGUAUCCGAAACACAAGACCAUAAAAGAGAGAGAGAGUUUAAGAGAGAUCGGGUAGAGAAGAAACUUAGGGCUAGAGACAUUGUUCGAGUCAUGUCUCUUUGGGAUAGAGUUUCUUUGAUUUUUCUUAUUCUUUGUUGUGUCUUUUUAUUGAGCGCUUAAAGCGUUUGUGUAAACCCUUUAAUUGAUAGUGGAUGUUGUGGGAGACGGUUCCUACCCCAAAAGUACCGCAAGAGAACUGGGUUAAAAGA